ACAUCAUAAACAGGUGUUAUAUGAUGGGAAACUUGCAAGUAGCAUUGCCUUUACAUAUAAUGCUAAGGCCACUGAUGCUCAGCUCUGCCUGGAAUCAUCACCAAAAGAGAAUGCAUCAAUUUUUGUGCAUUCCCCACAUGCUCUAAUGCUUCAGGAUGUGAAAGCGAUAGUAACACAUUCAAUUCAUAGUGCAAUUCAUUCAAUUGGAGGGAUUCAAGUGCUUUUUCCACUUUUUGCCCAAUUGGAUAAUAGGCAGCUCAAUGACAGUCAAGUGGAAACAACUGUCUGGUAAGUUUUCUUUGCAUGUACAAUUGCUGGUAUUUUAUACACACUUAAGACUAUGCAUGAUGUACUCAGUGCUGUGUAAAUGUAUUACAGUAUUUGGGUUCUGCCCUUAAAGU
rnacentral:lncRNA from 1 species